rnacentral:rRNA from 1 species
AGUGAACGCUGGCGGUAGGCCUAACACAUGCCAGUCGAACGGCAGCACAGUAAGAGCUUGCUCUUACGGGUGGCGAGUGGCGGACGGGUGAGGAAUACAUCGGAAUCUACUUUUUCGUGGGGGAUAACGUAGGGAAACUUACGCUAAUACCGCAUACGACCUACGGGUGAAAGCAGGGGAUCUUCGGACCUUGCGCGAUUGAAUGAGCCGAUGUCGGAUUAGCUAGUUGGCGGGGUAAAGGCCCACCAAGGCGACGAUCCGUAGCUGGUCUGAGAGGAUGAUCAGACACACUGGAACUGAGACACGGUCCAGACUCCUACGGGAGGCAGCAGUGGGGAAUAUUGGACAAUGGGCGCAAGCCUGAUCCAGCCAUACCGCGUGGGUGAAGAAGGCCUUCGGGCUGUAAAGCCCUUUUGUUGGGAAAGAAAAGCAGCAGGUUAAUACCCCGCUGUUCUGACGGUACCCAAAGAAUAAGCACCGGCUAACUUCGUG